rnacentral:rRNA from 1 species
GACGAACGCUGGCGGCGUGCUUAACACAUGCAAGUCGAACGGAAAGGCCCUGCUUUUGUGGGGUGCUCGAGUGGCGAACGGGUGAGUAACACGUGAGUAACCUGCCCUUGACUUUGGGAUAACUUCAGGAAACUGGGGCUAAUACCGGAUAGGAGCUCCUGCUGCGUGGGGGGGGGUGGAAAGUUUCGGCGGUUGGGGAUGGACUCGCGGCUUAUCAGCUUGUUGGUGGGGUAGUGGCCUACCAAGGCGUUGACGGGUAGCCGGCCUGAGAGGGUGGCCGGCCACAUUGGGACUGAGAUACGGCCCAGACUCCUACGGGAGGCAGCAGUGGGGAAUAUUGCACAAUGGGCGGAAGCCUGAUGCAGCAACGCCGCGUGCGGGAUGACGGCCUUCGGGUUGUAAACCGCUUUCGCCUGUGACGAAGCGUGAGUGACGGUAAUGGGAAAAGAAGCACCGGCUAACUACGUG